UUGGAGGGCAAGUCUGGUGCCAGCAGCCGCGGUAAUCCCAGCUCAAUAGCGUAUAUUAAAGUUGUUGCAGUUAAAAAGCUCGUAGUUGAAUUUCGAGAUCAAAUUGUUGGUCGUGCCUUGGUACGUACUGGCAUUAUUGAUUUCUCCCUUCUGAAGAACCACGAUGUCAUUAAUUUGGUGUCAUGGGGAAUCAGGACUGUUACUUUGAAAAAAUUAGAGUGUUUAAAGCAGGCUAACGCUUGAAUACAUUAGCAUGGAAUAAUGAAAUAGGACGUUUGAUUCUAUUUUGUUGGUUUCUAGGAUCGACGUAAUGAUUAAUAGGGAUAGUUGGGGGCAUUAGUAUUCAAUUGUCAGAGGUGAAAUUCUUGGAUUUAUUGAAGACUAACUACUGCGAAAGCAUUUGCCAAGGAUGUUUUCAUUAAUCAAGAACGAAAGUUAGGGGAUCGAAGACGAUCAGAUACCGUCGUAGUCUUAACCAUAAACUAUGCCGACUAGGGAUCGGAUGAUGUUAAUUUUUUAAUGACUCAUUCGGCGCCUUACGGGAAAC
rnacentral:rRNA from 1 species